UCAGGCGUAGCUACGUCCUCGCCGUUCGGCAAGAAAUCGGAGAAGAAAGGCCAACGGUUAUGUGUGUAAAGAGGUGUUAUUGUUGUCAAUGUGCUUCACAGAGUGAAGUAUGGACAUUACUAAUCUCACUGAGCUAAAGUCGAUGACAUUGUGAUUAACUACCGCGUUUUCAGCGUGUGAGUUACCAGCAUGAUAAGCUAGCGCUUGCUAGCACCUGGAUAUAUCAUCAGCCUGACGACGAGCGAGAAGAUACAAGAUAGUGGGUGACCAGGUAAAACCCAGCUGCACCUCUGGCUACAAGGGAGGAGAGAGCCUUCCUCAUCCUUUCUUACCGACAGAGUUAGACUGGACUUAGAAUUGAGGCCUGUUUCAGCACGUAAGCAGUUAAUAAUGGGGAAGAAAGAACUUGCUAAAGACAGGAGCAGCUGAUACUAUAUGUGCCUCCCACUGGUGCUGAACCCCUUGUGAAAGAGCAGACUCCAUCUGCAGCAGGUGCAGGUCUAAUGAUGCUUUGAUGCCAUAUGUCAAAUCUCAUCACUUGCUGAGUCGACUGACAUUUCCGUUGAUGGCUCCUAGCAACAGCAUUACAAGUGGUCGACACUCACCUCUCCUGUGAAGGAGGAACUGUGCUAACAAAAAGAAAUUAAAAAAUAGAUAAAAUAACCGGUUAUUCAGAACCACUCUCCAGUUUUUACCAAUGUGACAACACUGGUCACUUUUUACUUUCAUAGGAGAUGUGUUUUAAGAUAUAAAGUAUUCUGAAAGCAAAACAAGGUCACGUGAGAAAUAUGGCGGUAUUCAAAUCUCUAGUCUGUUGGCAUGUUGUACCAACUUUGUCCACCUGAUUACACUUAUGUAUAUGUGUGUGCCUGUGUGCAAUUUGUGUACACCCGUGUCUGACGUUUCAUGUCGUCAGUAGACAGCUUUUGAUUAUUGCAUCAACAGCAGUCGUGUCUUAAAUGCUAAAUUGUGCUUUCAAAUCAUAGCUGCACAGCUACACUUGGCUGGCUGAGUAACUAGUAAUCAUUCCACUUCUGUUUGAUGUGUGGGGUGCUGUCUAGUCACAGGCAGCCCAUCAGAGUCAAGUGGUAUGGAGUGAUUGCAUGCAUUGUGUCAGUGAUGGAGAUAGAAGACACUGUUUGUCCUUGUGCAGUGUGUAUAAAAAAAACAACAAAAACAAUACAAAACCACAGCAGGGCCAUGUGUAAGUGUGUGAGUAUUUAAAGCUGUGUGGUGAUAUGGUUGCCAGAAAAUAUGUGACUCUCUUAGCAAGCUAGUCAAAGCUGUAGGGAAGUCUGUGUCCCUUUGACCUUAUUGCAUAACACUGGCCACUUCAAGAGUCUAUGGGCUAACCAUCUUAAUAUUGUAUUAUACCUUAUGUUUAACUAAAUUUGUUUAGAUAAUAUUUCAACUUCAAAUCAAGGACAAAAAGUGUUUCCAUAGUCGAAAGUUUAAAGUCACUUACAUAAAAGCAACAUCACUGAUGGGUAUGGAUAGGUGUGAUGUCACAGUGUACUGACACACCCUGAAGUCCACAUUUACCUCAUUGCAACGUGUUAAAUGGCUCUUUAAAUUUUAUAGUUGUCAAAUUCAAACCAGAACUUACAGUAAUUUAAAGAAAGUAAUAAAAAGAAAAAAAAAGAAAAUUGCUUACUUCUUACCAUAAUUCCCAGCAUGCAUUGCAUUCAAUUUCCUUAACUUGAGAAUGAUAGAGGCUUAUGUGUAUUUUUAUACAUGUUUCUCAGAUCAGUCCCAUUAUUCUCUCUGAUAAAAAUUGAAACAAAGUCAGCCAUGAUAACAAAAGGUAUUCACUUUAACAUCUCACCUAUACUCAGUAAAAUUAGUUGAUUCGUAUAGAACAGUACUGCACUUACUAUAUUUAGUAGCAGUACAACCUGUGCUGUAAUGAUUCGGCAGUUUGGGCUCAGACUUGAAUUUGCUUUAACUUUGCUUCAACUUGAUAAUUGUAAAAUCAAGCCAAACAAUCAACUCUACUUUAAAUCAGCUGUUAAUUAAUUUCUUAUGUUUUUUCUCAAGUUCAGUUAAGUUGACUCAGUGAGUUUUACAUUAGAACAACUAAUGAACAAAUUGAACACUAUUACCUGAGUUAAAGGUGCCCUGUGGAGUUUUCUUACGAAUAGGACCUGCUCAUCAAAACAUUAUCACUACAUGGUACCUUUUAACUCUAAAUUUGAAGGAAAACAGGUGAAAACUUCUUGUUCUUCUGUGGCUCUGGGGGAAGUUAUCUAAAGGCUUGGAAAAUAACCCUGAUGAUGUCCUAGGGGUUAUUAUUAUGUCACAUUUGGUCUGAAGACAACAAAUUUGCAACAAAAUCCUUAAAUUACAAAUUGGGGUGUGGAGUUUAAAGGGGACAUAUUAUGCAAAAUGCACUUUUCCAUGGUUUUCUAUCAGUAAUAUGUGUCCCCGGCCUGUCGACAAACCCCCCCAAACAUGAGAAAAGUCCAUCCUCUCCGUCUUUUGCUUGCUCCACCUUUCAGAGAAUGUGUGCUCACACAGGCCAAUUGGAGAUUUUCCCUUGAUGUCGUCAUGAAGGGAAAUAACAGUGGGUGACACUCCCCGAGCUAGGUGUGUGUUCCGCCCUCUGAGUCCGCCUUGCAGCCGCUAUCGUUUCUGAAGAUAAAGCAUGGAUGAGCACCGACUG